rnacentral:tRNA from 1 species
CAAGAAGUAGUUUAAUUAGAAUGUCAGCUUUGGGUGCUGAUGGUGGGGGAGAGGUCCUUCCUUCUUGA